rnacentral:sRNA from 1 species
UGUGCCUGCCCUCUUUGGGCGUUUCCUCCCUAGACUUCCGGCCGUCUCGCAAAGGGCGGCCUUUUUUCUGGCUAGG